rnacentral:rRNA from 1 species
UAGGGAAUCUUGCGCAAUGGGCGAAAGCCUGACGCAGCCAUGCCGCGUGAAUGAUGAAGGUCUUAGGAUUGUAAAAUUCUUUCACCGGGGACGAUAAUGACGGUACCCGGAGAAGAAGCCCCGGCUAACUUCGUGCCAGCAGCCGCGGUAAUACGAAGGGGGCUAGCGUUGCUCGGAAUUACUGGGCGUAAAGGGAGCGUAGGCGGAUAGUUUAGUCAGAGGUGAAAGCCCAGGGCUCAACCUUGGAAUUGCCUUUGAUACUGGCUAUCUUGAGUAUGGAAGAGGUAUGUGGAACUCCGAGUGUAGAGGUGAAAUUCGUAGAUAUUCGGAAGAACACCAGUGGCGAAGGCGACAUACUGGUCCAUUACUGACGCUGAGGCUCGAAAGCGUGGGGAGCGAACAG